rnacentral:rRNA from 1 species
UAGGGAAUCUUCCGCAAUGGACGCAAGUCUGACGGAGCAACGCCGCGUGAGUGAAGAAGGAUUUCGGUUCGUAAAACUCUGUUGUUAGAGAAGAACAGCGCAUAGAGUAACUGUUAUGCGUGUGACGGUAUCUAACCAGAAAGCCACGGCUAACUACGUGCCAGCAGCCGCGGUAAUACGUAGGUGGCAAGCGUUGUCCGGAUUUAUUGGGCGUAAAGCGGGCGCAGGCGGUCAAUUAAGUCUGAUGUGAAAGCCCCCGGCUCAACCGGGGAGGGUCAUUGGAAACUGGUUGACUUGAGUGCAGAAGAGGAGAGUGGAAUUCCAUGUGUAGCGGUGAAAUGCGUAGAUAUAUGGAGGAACACCAGUGGAGAAGGCGACUCUCUGGUCUGUAACUGACGCUGAGGCUCGAAAGCGUGGGUAGCAAACAGG